UCGGUCCCCCCGCAACGAUUACCCGUCAACCUGGUCAGGUCCGGAAGGAAGCAGCCACAGCGGGAACAUCGUGUGCCGGGGUGUGGCUGG
rnacentral:SRP_RNA from 1 species